rnacentral:lncRNA from 1 species
ACUGCUAGCAGGAACAUGAUGUCGAAACACCCUCCAUGACACGAUCCAAAUGGCCCUCUUACUCUCUUAAGUAGCAAAAUAAAUACCAGCAUCAAGGUUCUGGAUGGAGACCACUUCAUUUGCUCACAUAUUUUUGCAAGCCGUUUAUUAGGAUACCGCUUAAAUAAUUACUUCUUGUUUUUAUUUGGCUUUUCUUAAACAUGGUCUUGUUAGGUGAGGUUUCAUAACCACCACACAACUGUCUUUGUUCUCACGCUGCUGGAGCGUGUUUUAUGGGCAUUGUGAUAAUAGCUGUAGUUUCCAACGGUUGCAGUAGCUGACUAGUCAGUGGCUUCAGCAACACACAUUUAUUCUCCUACAGCCCUGGAGGUCAGAAGCUCCGAUCCAGGUGUUGGCUGGGUUCCACUCCUCCUGGAGGCGCUAGGGGAGGAUCUGUGUCCCUCUUACCAUUUCUAGGAUCCGCUGCACCCCUUGGCUCAGGCCUCUCUUCCAUCUUCAAAGUCAGCAGCCUCUCCUCCCCUCUGACCUUGGCUUCCUCUGCCCGACUCUGACCCCUUGCCUUCCUCUUACAAGGACCCUGUGAUGACCUGGCGCCCACCCAGCUAAUCCAGGGAGGAGAAGAGAAUACUGAGCGUCUUUUCGUUUCUGCUCUGCCAGUAGUUUACAGCCAGAGGCAAAGCAAACCAAGAACACAGAGCCAUCUACAGGGAAAAAUCCUGGGUAACUACUUCUUCUCGGAAAAGCCCAUCACCAUCUCCACGCUCAAGAGAAUAGUGCUGGACCCCUACCUCACACCAUGUACCAAAACUAACUCAGAACAGACCAACAACCCUAAUGUAACAGCAAAAAAUAUAGAACUCUCAGACAAAAACCCAGGGGAAAAGCCUGACAACAUUGCUUUUGGCAGUGAUUUCUAGGAUAUGACACCAAAAGCACAAGCAGCAACAGAAAAAAACAUUAAAUUUAAACCAUCUGUGCACCAAGGACACUGAACAGUGAAAACACAACCAUGAAAUGGGAGAAGAAGUGUCCGUGACAGUCGCUGUCAUGGAAGUCACCUCCCCAGCACCACAAGGGAGAGCCAUCCUUCCUGCAGGGCGGCCACGUGGCCACCUAGGCUGGUCCCGGGAGACCUUGGACCCAGGCUGGUGCCUGCCCCAGCUCCUGUCCCGAGACGUGGCUGAAGGAAACCCGAGUGAAGGCUGAGUGCCCCAUGAGGGACCCGGGCUCUGACACAGACAGACUGUCCCGGCUGGAGUCCAGCUCCUGGACGACCUGGGUCUCCCCGUUCUGCACUGGUAUCGCGCGGUGAGGCGGCGCUGAUCAGAACCUCAAAAGACCUGACCCCGAACACCGUCAUCCCAAAUCCUGAGCUCCUGAAAGAUCAAAACCUAACAUGUUGGUGUUCUGACCAGUUUCUCUGUGAAUGGUUCAUCUGCACAUAACUCAUAUCCACGUGACUGAAUGAGCACACCUGUGUGUCUGUGCUGGAGAAAAUGUUAUGAUCACCGACUUUAUUGGGAUGUCAGCAUUCAGAACUGUGUCCCAGGAUCGUGGCCCAGACCCACAGGGCAGGGGCGUGCACUUUUGAGGGUUCUGAAGACGACUCAACAGGGUGCCUGACCUGCUGGUAAGGACUCAGGAGACCUCACCUGUCCUCGUCACACUCAUGGAAGGGGACUCCAGAUCCCUGGCGUAGCUGGUCUGGGAACUGGGGAGGGAUGGGCAGUGCCCGGUAUAGGGUGCAACCUCCAGUGCCCACAUUAGCACGUCUGUUGCUGUGAGAUUCUAUCCUGUGGACACCUGUGGCUGUAACACACACCUUCCCACUGCUGUCACAGGAGUGAUACUCUUUCCGAUUCUAACAUCAGUGUGUGCACAUUUUGGGAAAACCAGCAAGUACAGAAGAAGAAUUUAGGCCGGGCCCAGUGGCUCACGCCUGGAAUCCCAGCACUUCGGGAAGUCAAGGCAGGAGGAUCGCUGGAGGCCAGGAGUUUGAGAUCAGCCCGGGCAACAUAGUGAGACCUCAUCUCUAUUUAAGAAAGAAAAAGACCACUGGUCCUCCCAGUGUUUACAAGAUUUUUCCAUUAAAACAGGAGGGAUCAUAAUGAGCGGCCUAACAAAGACAUUUAAAGACACGCCAAGAAGGGGCGCAGACAGGAGUCCUGAGAUGCAGUCAUGGGAACCCGCACCUGUUUUCCCGCCCUGGGCACCCAGCGUGGACAGGCUGGCCGGUGCCAGGGUGAGCAGGGCAGGCUGAGGUCUCCAGUGGGUGGGGACAGGUUAGGGGGCAGCAAUUCAGUGACCCUGUCCAGGACUGGGUCCCUUGCAGAAGGUGAGGUCAGCCAGGGGUGGGGGUGGUGGCUGUGGAAUCCGUUGUCUGGUCUAUAGGGGGUCCCCCUACCGAAGCCCUAACCCUCUCCCCUUCACCACCCCAGUGAUCUCCUGGCCCAGGCUGCUGCCUCCAGCAGCUCCCCAGCCCCCAGGACAGUCCUUCAGGACUCUAGGGGGAGUCCCGUCUACAAGGACGGCUCACCAGUCUCCCGCCACAGCCAGUGAGGAUGGGGUCCUGCAGCCGAAGUGGUGUGUGCCCAGUGUGGUGUCCCUGGCAGGCUGGGAGGGUGCCCCCAGCUGCCAGUUAGUGAGGCUGGGUUAGCACGAGGGCAAGGAGCUUGGAUUCUGGGGCUGACAGCCUGAGCUCAACUCCAGCGCCCCAUCUUGCUGGGGCUCCUCCGCCUGGAGGCGGCUCCUCCACCUGCCUCUGCCUCCGUUUCUGCAGCAGUUGCCUGCCGGACUCCAGCCCGAGGCGGGGGCCACGGCUGACCCAGCUGGAGAACGCCCCACUGGCCCAGUCAGUGCUGUCCUCUGCACCUGAUGGCUUCUCUUGGCAGGGAGGGCUCCCCCGCCCCCGGGCUCUGUGCCAGCCAGAGGUUCCGCAGGAGCUGCUCACUUCCUCCCGCCGGCAGAGGCAGCCUGCGGGGCGGCUCCAACCUGGAGAAACCAAAAUCAGGGCAAGUCCCUGGCUGCUUCCCUGGAAAGCCCCGACGGAGUCCCCGCUCCUUCCCGCCGGUUCUCAGGGUGCUUUAUUUCAGAAGGGGAUUUCUUCCUCCUGAGAAUCUGAUGGCCACAGGGUGCCUGUCACAUGUCCACAUCGGGCCCUCCUGGCUGUCACCAACUUGUCCAACUGUCAGAGGUGUUUGAACCAGAGCGACUCCGUCUUGAAUAGGGGCUGGGUGGAAUGAGGCUGGGGCCUGCUGGACUGCGUUCCCGGGAGGGUAAGGCAUUCUUAGUCACAAGACAGGAGGUUGGCACAAGAUACAAGUCACGAAGACCUUGCCGAUAAAGCAGGUUGCAGUAAAGAAGUGGCCAAAUCCCACCAAAACCAAGAUGGUGACUAGAGUGACCUCUGGUCGUGCUCGCCACUCAUUAUACACAAAUUCUAAUGCAUUAGCUGCUAAGAGACACUCCCACCAGCGCCAUGUCCACAAAUGCCAUGGCAACGUCCGAAAGUUACCCUGCACGGUCUAAAAAGGAGAGGAAGCCUCAGUUCUGGGAAUUGACCACCCUUUCCCAGAAAAUUCAUGAAUAAUCCACUCCUUGUUUAACAUAUAAUCAAGAAAUGACCAAAAUAAGCAUAAGAAUAUUCAGCUGAGCAGCCCAGCCCUCCGCACUGCCUCUGGAGUAGCCAUUCUUUAUUCCUUUACUCUAUUAAUAAACUUCUCACUUGAC